rnacentral:rRNA from 1 species
UACGAAGGGUGCAAGCGUUACUCGGAAUCACUGGGCGUAAAGCGUGCGUAGGCGGUUUCUUAAGUCUGUCGUGAAAGCCCUGGGCUCAACCUGGGAACGGCGAUGGAUACUGGGAAGCUAGAAUGUGAGAGAGGAUGGUGGAAUUCUCGGUGUAGCGGUGAAAUGCGUAGAUAUCGAGAGGAACACCUGCGGCGAAGGCGGGUUGCUGGGCUGACACUGACGCUGAGACGCGAAAGCGUGGGGAGCAAACAGG